AGCAGCCGCGGUAAUUCCAGCUCCAAUAGCGUAUAUUAAAGUUGUUGCAGUUAAAAAGCUCGUAGUUGAAUUUCGGGAUUGACGUGAUGGUCAUGCCUUAAGGGGUAUGAACUGUUACUGUUGAUUUCUCACCUUCUGGAGAAACUUGAUGUCCUUUAUUGGGUGUCUUGCGGAUCUAGGACCUUUACUUUGGAAAAAUUAGAGUGUUUAAAGCAGGCAUUUUGCUUGAAUACAUUAGCAUGGAAUAAUAAAAUAGGACGGCAUGAUUCUAUUUUGUUGGUUUCUAGGAUCACCGUAAUGAUUAAUAGGGAUAGUUGGGGGCAUUAGUAUUCAAUUGUCAGAGGUGAAAUUCUUGGAUUUAUUGAAGACUAACUACUGCGAAAGCAUUUGCCAAGGAUGUUUUCAUUAAUCAAGAACGAGAGUUAGGGGAUCGAAGACGAUCAGAUACCGUCGUAGUCUUAACCAUAAACUAUGCCGACUAGGAAUCAGACGAUGUUAAUUUUUUAAUGACUCGUUUGAC
rnacentral:rRNA from 1 species